GAUGAACGCUAGCGGCAGGCUUAAUACAUGCAAGUCGAGGGGCAGCAGGACUGUAGCAAUACAGUUGCUGGCGACCGGCAAACGGGUGCGGAACACGUACGCAACCUACCCAAAACUGGGGGAUAGCCCGGGGAAACCCGGAUUAAUACCUCGUAACCUUUUUAAGUGGCAUCACUUGAUAAGUAUAGCUCCGGCGGUUUUGGAUGGGCGUGCGCCUGAUUAGGUAGUUGGUGCGGGUAACGGCCCACCAAGCCUGCGAUCAGUAACUGGUGUGAGAGCACGACCAGUCACACGGGAACUGAGACACGGGCCCGACUCCUACGGGAGGCAGCAGUAAGGAAUAUUAGUCAAUGGACGCAAGUCUGAACCAGCCAUGCCGCGUGAAGGAUGAAGGUCAUCUGGAUUGUAAACUUCUUUUAUGGGGGACGAAACCCGGAUAUUCUUAUCCGAUUGACGGUACCUCAGGAAUAAGCACCGGCUAACUCCGUG
rnacentral:rRNA from 1 species